rnacentral:rRNA from 1 species
GGAUUAGAUACCCUGGUAGUCCUAGCUGUAAACGAUCAGUACUAGUCCGUGGGGACUCUCACAUCCUCUCGGACGUAGCGAAAGUGUUAAGUACUGCGCCUGGGGAGUAUGGUCGCAAGGCUGAAACUCAAAGGAAUUGACGGGGGCUCACACAAGCGGUGGAGGAUGUGGCUUAAUUCGAGAUACGCGAAGAACCUUACCUAGACUUAACAUGCUUGGGAACGUCUGUGAAAGCAGAAAGUGCCUUUCGGGGAACCCUUGCGUAGGUGCUGCAUGGCUGUCGUCAGCUCGUGCUG